rnacentral:rRNA from 1 species
AGUGGGGGAUAACGUAGCGAAAGUUACGCUAAUACCGCAUAUGCCCUGAGGGGGAAAGGAGGGGAUCGCAAGACCUUUCGCUUUCGGAGUGGCCGAUAUCAGAUUAGCUAGUUGGUGAGGUAAAGGCUCACCAAGGCGACGAUCUGUAGCGGGUCUGAGAGGAUGAUCCGCCACACUGGGACUGAGACACGGCCCAGACUCCUACGGGAGGCAGCAGUGGGGAAUUUUGGACAAUGGGGGCAACCCUGAUCCAGCCAUGCCGCGUGAGUGAAGAAGGCCUUCGGGUUGUAAAGCUCUUUCGGACGGAAAGAAAUCCUAUCCGCUAAUACCGGGUGGGGAUGACGGUACCGUAAGAAGAAGCACCGGCUAACUACGUGCCAGCAGCCGCGGUAAUACGUAGGGUGCGAGCGUUAAUCGGAAUUACUGGGCGUAAAGCGUGCGCAGGCGGUUUUGUAAGACAGGUGUGAAAUCCCCGGGCUUAACCUGGGAACUGCAUUUGUGACUGCAAGGCUAGAGUGCGGCAGAGGGGGGUAGAAUUCCG